AAUUGGCAUAACAAAUUCAAGAUCUCUUGAAAACGUAGUAUAUAUGCUAUAUGUAACUCGUGAUCCUUUCAACUGCAUGUGAUCCAUCAAUAAUCCUCCCAGAGGAUAGAGAACGAAAUGAUCCAUGAUUGAGAGAUAGGAAGCGAGGCAGAGGGAGAAGAGAUCAGAGAUCUAGAGAGAGGAGAUGAAUAGAGAGAAGAGAUAGGUUUAGAAUGGUAAAGGAAGAAAACAUCCCACCUUAGUAUUGCCAAACUUAUUCAAUUCCUUCUCAUCAGAUUAUACAGAUCAUUGAGGACCCCCACACACAAAGAGACAAUCCAUCU